rnacentral:rRNA from 1 species
AGAGUUCGAUUAUGGCUCAGAUUGAACGCUGGCGGCAGGCCUAACACAUGCAAGUCGAACGGUAACAGGAAACAGCUUGCUGUUUCGCUGACGAGUGGCGGACGGGUGAGUAAUGUCUGGGAAACUGCCUGAUGGAGGGGGAUAACUACUGGAAACGGUAGCUAAUACCGCAUAACGUCGCAAGACCAAAGAGGGGGACCUUCGGGCCUCUUGCCAUCGGAUGUGCCCAGAUGGGAUUAGCUAGUAGGUGGGGUAACGGCUCACCUAGGCGACGAUCCCUAGCUGGUCUGAGAGGAUGACCAGCCACACUGGAACUGAGACACGGUCCAG